UACGUAGGGUCCGAGCGUUGUCCGGAAUUAUUGGGCGUAAAGGGCUCGUAGGCGGUUUGUCGCGUCGGGAGUGAAAACCUUGGGCUUAACUCAGGGCUUGCUUUCGAUACGGGCAGACUAGAGGUAUGCAGGGGAGAACGGAAUUCCUGGUGUAGCGGUGAAAUGCGUAGAUAUCAGGAGGAACACCGAUGGCGAAGGCAGGUCUCUGGGCUGAAACUGACGCUCAAGCACGAAAGCGUGGGGAGCAAACAGG
rnacentral:rRNA from 1 species